rnacentral:rRNA from 1 species
AGAGUUUGAUCCUGGCUCAGAAUGAACGCUGGCGGCGUGCCUAAUACAUGCAAGUCGAACGCACUGUGGUUCAACUGAUUUGAAGAGCUUGCUCUGAUAUGACGAUGAACAUUGCAGUGAGUGGCGAACGGGUGAGUAACACGUGGGAAACCUACCUCUUAGCGGGGGAUAACAUCUGGAAACAGAUGCUAAUACCGCAUAACACUAGCAACCGCAUGGUUGCUACUUGAAAGAUGGUUCUGCUAUCACUAAGAGAUGGUCCCGCGGCGCAUUAGUUAGUUGGUGAGGUAAUGGCUCACCAAGACGAUGAUGCGUAGCCGAGUUGAGAGACUGAUCGGCCACAAUGGGACUGAGACACGGCCCAUACUCCUACGGGAGGCAGCAGUAGGGAAUCUUCCACAAUGGACGAAAGUCUGAUGGAGCAACGCCGCGUGUGUGAUGAAGGGUUUCGGCUCGUAAAACACUGUUGUAAGAGAAGAAUAGCAUCAAGAGUAACUGCUUGGUGUGUGACGGUAUCUUACCAGAAAGGAACGGCUAAAUACGUGCCAGCAGCCGCGGUAAUACGUAUGUUCCAAGCGUUAUCCGGAUUUAUUGGGCGUAAAGCGAGCGCGGACGGUUUUUUAAGUCCGAAGUGAAAGCCCACAGCUUAACUGUGGAAGUGCUUUGGAAACUGGAUGACUUGAGUGCAGUAGAGGAGAGUGGAAUUCCAUGUGUAGCGGUGAAAUGCGUAGAUAUAUGGAGGAACACCAGUGGCGAAUGCGGCUCUCUGGACUGUAACUGACGUUGAGGCUCGAAAGUGGUGGGUAGCAAACAGGAUUAGAUACCC